CAGGAUGAACGCUGGCGGCGUGCCUAAUACAUGCAAGUCGAGCGAACAGAUAAGGAGCUUGCUCCUUUGACGUUAGCGGCGGACGGGUGAGUAACACGUGGGUAACCUACCUAUAAGACUGGGAUAACUUCGGGAAACCGGAGCUAAUACCGGAUAACAUUUGGAACCGCAUGGUUCUAAAGUGAAAGAUGGUUUUGCUAUCACUUAUAGAUGGACCCGCGCCGUAUUAGCUAGUUGGUAAGGUAACGGCUUACCAAGGCGACGAUACGUAGCCGACCUGAGAGGGUGAUCGGCCACACUGGAACUGAGACACGGUCCAGACUCCUACGGGAGGCAGCAGUAGGGAAUCUUCCGCAAUGGGCGAAAGCCUGACGGAGCAACGCCGCGUGAGUGAUGAAGGGUUUCGGCUCGUAAAACUCUGUUAUUAGGGAAGAACAAACGUGUAAGUAACUGUGCACGUCUUGACGGUACCUAAUCAGAAAGCCACGGCUAACUACGUGCCAGCAGCCGCGGUAAUACGUAGGUGGCAAGCGUUAUCCGGAAUUAUUGGGCGUAAAGCGCGCGUAGGCGGUUUCUUAAGUCUGAUGUGAAAGCCCACGGCUCAACCGUGGAGGGUCAUUGGAAACUGGGAAACUUGAGUGCAGAAGAGGAAAGUGGAAUUCCAUGUGUAGCGGUGAAAUGCGCAGAGAUAUGGAGGAACACCAGUGGCGAAGGCGACUUUCUGGUCUGUAACUGACGCUGAUGUGCGAAAGCGUGGGGAUCAAACAGGAUUAGAUACCCUGGUAGUCCACGCCGUAAACGAUGAGUGCUAAGUGUUAGGGGGUUUCCGCCCCUUAGUGCUGCAGCUAACGCAUUAAGCACUCCGC
rnacentral:rRNA from 1 species